UAGGGAAUUUUGCGCAAUGGGCGAAAGCCUGACGCAGCAACACCGCGUGCGGGAUGAAGGCCUUCGGGUUGUAAACCGCUGUCAGCAGGGAAUAUAAUGACUGUACCUGCAGAGGAAGCAUCGGCUAACUACGUGCCAGCAGCCGCGGUAAGACGUAGGAUGCAAGCGUUGUCCGGAAUUAUUGGGCGUAAAGAGUUCGUAGGCGGUUACUUAAGUCUGGUGUUAAAUACUGGAGCUCAACUCCGGCAUGGCAUUGGAAACUGGGUAGCUAGAGUGCGGUAGAGGUCACGGGAAUUCCUGGUGUAGCGGUGAAAUGCGUAGAUAUCAGGAGGAACACCUGUAGCGAAAGCGCGUGACUGGGCCGUAACUGACGCUGAGGAACGAAAGCCAGGGGAGCGAAAGGG
rnacentral:rRNA from 1 species